GACGAACGCUGGCGGCGUGCCUAAUACAUGCAAGUAGAACGCUGAAGCUUGGUGCUUGCACCGAGCGGAUGAGUUGCGAACGGGUGAGUAACGCGUAGGUAACCUGCCUGGUAGCGGGGGAUAACUAUUGGAAACGAUAGCUAAUACCGCAUAAUAGUAGAUGUUGCAUGACAUUUGCUUAAAAGGUGCAAUUGCAUCACUACCAGAUGGACCUGCGUUGUAUUAGCUAGUUGGUGAGGUAACGGCUCACCAAGGCAACGAUACAUAGCCGACCUGAGAGGGUGAUCGGCCACACUGGGACUGAGACACGGCCCAGACUCCUACGGGAGGCAGCAGUAGGGAAUCUUCGGCAAUGGACGGAAGUCUGACCGAGCAACGCCGCGUGAGUGAAGAAGGUUUUCGGAUCGUAAAGCUCUGUUGUAAGAGAAGAACGAGUGUGAGAGUGGAAAGUUCACACUGUGACGGUAGCUUACCAGAAAGGGACGGCUAACUACGUG
rnacentral:rRNA from 1 species